rnacentral:rRNA from 1 species
AACGGAAAGGCUCCAGCUUGCUGGAGUACUCGAGUGGCGAACGGGUGAGUAACACGUGGGUAAUCUGCCCUGCACUCUGGGAUAAGCCUGGGAAACUGGGUCUAAUACUGGAUAUGACCUUUCUCCUUAUGGGGUUUGGUGGAAAGUUUUUCGGUGUAGGAUGAGCCCGCGGCCUAUCAGCUUGUUGGUGGGGUGAUGGCCUACCAAGGCGACGACGGGUAGCCGGCCUGAGAGGGUGAUCGGCCACAUUGGGACUGAGAUACGGCCCAGACUCCUACGGGAGGCAGCAGUGGGGAAUAUUGCACAAUGGGCGGAAGCCUGAUGCAGCGACGCCGCGUGAGGGAUGACGGCCUUCGGGUUGUAAACCUCUUUCAGCAGGGACGAAGCGUAAGUGACGGUACCUGCAGAAGAAGCACCGGCUAACUAC